UGAUAUGUUCUCUCCUAGGAGUGUUUGUUAAAAACCUGGCUGCCGCGUUCUGUACGACUUGAAGCCUGUUAAGAGCGGAGGCAGGUAAACCAAUUAAAAUGGAAUUUGCAUAAUCCAGUCGAGAGAUGAUAAAAGCAUGGAUUACGGAUUCCAGGUGUGCUCGUUUCAGGAUCGGUUUUAAGCGGACUAGUCUGCGCAGCUGAUAAAAACACGAUCUGACCACUGCGUUAAUCUGAGGGCCCAUGGUAAACUGCGUAUCAAAUUUCACCCCAAGGUUGGUAACACACUGCUUGAGGUCAAAAGGGAGAGUGGCCAAAUCAGAAGAUACUUGUGUUGUUUGGUUAGCCUUAAAUGUAGUUUAAAUUCACCCUCCAUAAUGUAGAUAGAUUAAUUUAUGCCUAAAAUAAAAUCCAUCUUUGUGACUGUUGGAUUUUCCAAACAGUUACCUAACGUUGUUGGUUUACAAUUUACUAAAUAUACAGUUAAACACUGCCAGAGAAGGGUUUCAUUUAAUGUUUGGAGGCUCUGCUACUGAAUGGACAUGUGAUCCGUCUUGAGGAAAUUGAUGUGAAUCAAUAUAACGUCCUCUGAUGUGCUGCUGUGUGAGUGCAUGUUUGUGAUCUGCUCAGUCCUUUGACACUGGCUGUUUUCAUCUGAUAGGGGAUGGUGAGAUGGAAGCGUGGUGAUUAAGCCGUCAUGUCAGUGGAAUAUUGAUGCCUGCGCAGCUCAAAUGGGGAAAUUAUAAAGCGCUCGGCAGGAAAUGCAUCUUAAUUGCUGCUUAACUGGGUAUCCUCGUCAGAAACAGGGAGAAAUGGUGGGCCGCGUCCCCAUAUGAUUCAGACAAAACAGAUAGAUGAGUUAACACUCCUCUGCAGCACUCUAUAGAGGAGACAAAUGAGCUCAUAAACACUCUAAUAGAGGGCUGCUCCGUGUUCAGAGAGGAGUUGGAGACACUGUAGCUAAAGACAAGUUUUCUGUUCAUGAGACAAUGUUGAGAGCCGUCUUUGAGGGAUUUCCUGUGAGAUGUUUCUCUUGUGACUUCUGCGGGGAUGUGUGAUCUACUUUAUUAUUUUGUUACAACUCCAACGGACUUCAAAGUCAGCAAAUAAAGAUUAGUCAGCCCCAACCAGCUCAGUGGACAAAUAACAAGAAAUAAUGAGCUGUAAUGAGAUUUUAGUUUUUAAUUUAGGGUUAUUCCUGUUCAUUAGAUGACUUGUUUCACCUGGUAAAGCUGUAUUCAUUAUCAAGUGUUUUAUUUUCAUUCCUGGAGAAAGGAGCACUCUCUUAUUUCAGAAGUGAUUAUCUCUCACUGUUGUGUUGCUGCUAAAUGCUCAGAGCGGACACAAACACACUCAGCUGCCAGAUCUGACCCUGCUAAAACACCACUGGUCACCUUGGUGACAACAAAGCCUUGCUAGAUUUGGUUUAUUGCCGGUUUUUCCAAUCGUCGCAGAGACAACAUUCUGGUUGCUGUCGCUGUGACAAAAAGCCUCUUUUGCUGGCUGUAAGUCAAAAGAUUUAAACUCAGGUUUUGCUUUUAUGAAUCUGUGGAAAACGGUUAAACGUGUGAGGAUGUAGUUCAUGUUCCGACAGCUCAGAUGGCUCUUUAGGUUUGUUCUUGAUAUGUGUCUGUUAGAAGUUAUGUGUCAUUGCUGUGUGUGCUAAACAAAGAGGGUGAGAUUAACACAGGUUGGCAAACUCCCAUAAAAAAAGUUUUUGCAUAGUUUUGGAGGAUUAUCAAAGCAUUCAAGUUUUUUUUCUUGUCUUUUAUCAUGUAAACCCUGUGUGGAUUCUCCUCCCAUGUCCUCUUCACCUACUCUGAACUGUGUGGAGAUAAAUGACAUGGAGCCAGAUGUCUUCAAAGAGAUGAUGUGCUUCAUCUACACAGGCAAGGCACCCAGCCUGUGCAAGAUGGCUGAUGACCUGCUGGCUGCAGCUGACAAGACACAUGAUUCCUGAAACCAAACACUGACAGAAAAUGGAUGGAUGAUUUUUUUUUACAUUUGGAAUGUUUGAAGAGGCAAUAGAGACCCACUUGGCAGCACAAAAAAGGAGUUUUGCUUAAAGGUAGUGGCCAGACUCAACAUUAAAAUUGUAGAAAUACAGUAUAACUACACUUUACCAUCUAUAUAAAUAUGAACUGGGUUCAGUUUUUCAUUUUGUUAAGGGUCGACCCAGGACACGUUGGAGAGGUUACAUCUCCAAUCUGGUCCGGGAACGCCUUGGGGUCCUGCCGGAGGAGCUGGUGGAGAAGGCCGGGGAGAGGACGUUCUGGAGUAGGGAUGAGCCGGAUACUCGUUUCAGAUGAGUAUCCGUCUUGCUGCUGAUGAGAUGGAGACAUCUGGCUGGAAGUGUGGUUUCUCACCCACACCUAGUGGUGGAGGAACUGGCUCAGUGCCCAAUUCUCUGUCCUCUAUGGAUGCAUUUGAAACCAUCUUGGAGUCUCCUGUCCUAAACCUUGCUGUCUCCUCCUUAGCCACUGCUCCUCCCUCCUAGACCUCGGUGUGCUCCUUUGGUAUGUGGCUUGUCUAAAUAUUGUUAGGGGAGCCAUACAGGUCAUAGAGGGUGUGCUGCUCAUCUGUGUAGGAUGGAUAACCGGAGUUUAAUGCCUGGAACUGAAUACUUAUGAAUUGAAAACAUACAGCCUUCUAUAACCUUUGUUGGAAAUAUCAGAAAGCUAAAACCUUUUUCUGUGAGUCAGGCAUGCAAUAAAUAAAUAAAUAAGAUCCUGAAUAUGGAACGUCAUGGCCAAUCUGACAGAACACUAAGGUGACAUAUUUUCUUUGACAGUGUUAAAGCCCAAGCUGUGCUUGUUAUUAAAAUAAAAAGCGAAAUGGAUCAAGGGUUCCUCGCUGAUCCGUUAGGAUUUGGUACAAUGGAUUGUUUUUCCUGGAGAACAGUCAUUGUGAUAAAAAGGCCUGAAUGAAAAAAGACAAAUCUGAACAGGAUGUUCAGCAUUUACCUCGUGUUUUGACUCAGAAUGUCGGUGCAUAUUCUGCACAGUUUCAGCCUGAUGGGUUGCUUUAAUGUCAAUGAAAGCUUAGCGGGCCUGCUCUUGGAUGACUUGUUGGU